rnacentral:piRNA from 1 species
UAUACAACCAAGUGUUCUUUCUGGAUC